UUCCUCUGUGAUGGUCCUCUGCCAUGACCCCCUGCCUUGGAGCCAACAGACUAUGGACUGAAACCUCUACAAACUGGCAAGAAAAUGAUGUAAUUCCACUAUCCCAGAGGGAGAUGUCACAUACAAAAGUGAGUCCAUGCAGUGGGCUCUGAUGGCGUCCUAUACACACUCAGACAGCAAGGAGACAGGAUGGAAGGAGAACACUGAUGUCAUCAUGAACUGUGAAUUAUAUUUCAACAAAGGAGAUCAUAGUUUUGAAAAUACCUACAUGGAUAUGAAGACCAUAUUCAGAGUGUCUGGGCCAGGUUUUAAGGAGAAUCAUCUGGUGGUAACUUGCAACUGCAUCCAUAUCUAUGCCCUGAUGUGCAGGCUCCUGGGGAUAGCUCUGUGGCAGUCACCAGGAGAUGCUCCUGGACUUUCUUCCCCAGCCACCAG
rnacentral:lncRNA from 1 species